rnacentral:rRNA from 1 species
GAUAACGUUCGGAAACGGACGCUAAUACCGCAUACGUCCUACGGGAGAAAGCAGGGGACCUUCGGGCCUUGCGCUAUCAGAUGAGCCUAGGUCGGAUUAGCUAGUUGGUGGGGUAAUGGCUCACCAAGGCGACGAUCCGUAACCGGUCUGAGAGGAUGAUCAGUCGCACUGGAACUGAGACACGGUCCAGACUCCUACGGGAGGCAGCAGUGGGGAAUAUUGGACAAUGGGCGAAAGCCUGAUCCAGCCAUGCCGCGUGUGUGAAGAAGGUCUUCGGAUUGUAAAGCACUUUAAGUUGGGAGGAAGGGCAUUAACCUAAUACGUUAGUGUUUUGACGUUACCGACAGAAUAAGCACCGGCUAACUCUGUGCCAGCAGCCGCGGUAAUACAGAGGGUGCAAGCGUUAAUCGGAAUUACUGGGCGUAAAGCGCGCGUAGGUGGUUUGUUAAGUUGGAUGUGAAAUCCCCGGGCUCAACCUGGGAACUGCAUUCAAAACUGACUGACUAGAGUAUGGUAGAGGGUGGUGGAAUUUCCUGUGUAGCGGUGAAAUGCGUAGAUAUAGGAAGGAACACCAGUGGCGAAGGCGACCACCUGGACUGAUACUGACACUGAGGUGCGAAAGCGUGGGGAGCAACAGGAUUAGAUACCCUGGUAGUCCACGCCGUAAACGAUGUCAACUAGCCGUUGGGAGCCUUGAGCUCUUAGUGGCGCAGCUAACGCAUUAAGUUGACCGCCUGGGGAGUACGGCCGCAAGGUUAAAACUC